AGAGCGAACGCUGGCGGCGUGCUUAACACAUGCAAGUCGAACGAGGUCUGUAGCAAUACAGAUACUCGUGGCGAACGGGUGCGUAACACGUGGAUAACCUUCCUUCAGGUGGGGAAUAACCCAGUGAAAAUUGGGCUAAUACCGCAUAACAUGACGAUGCCACAUGGUGUUGUCUUCAAAGGCGCAAGUCGCCAGAAGAGGGAUCCGCGGCCGAUUAGCUAGUUGGCGAGGUAAUGGCUCACCAAGGCAAUGAUCGGUAGCCGGACUGAGAGGUUGGCCGGCCACACUGGAACUGAGACACGGUCCAGACUCCUACGGGAGGCAGCAGUGGGGAAUCUUGCACAAUGGACGAAAGUCUGAUGCAGCAACGCCGCGUGGGGGAUGAAGCUUUUCGGAGUGUAAACCCCUUUCGACCCGGAAGAAAGCCCGCAAGGGUUUGACGGUACGGUAUAAGAAGCCCGGCUAACUCUGUGCCAGCAGCCGC
rnacentral:rRNA from 1 species